CUCAGCAGAUAAACUCCUCUUUCCCUCUGGUUGUGCGCACCAGUGAGGAAUGUGAAAAGCGGUGGUAUGUGUUGCCGUCUCAAGCCAGGAGGGAGAUUGCAGCACACAAACGGGAUUCUUCAAGCACAGGUGGAGGACCACCCGCUAAACAACUGUCUCAGGUAGCGGAAACUGUAUUUAAUGUACUUGGACACUCAGAAAUAUCUGUCACUGGGCUGAAGGAAGGCACAGACAGCUCAAUGAUCCAGCUAAUGGGAAUACAACAAAGCAUGGAACCAUCAGAGGA